rnacentral:rRNA from 1 species
AGUGAACGCUGGCGGUAGGCCUAACACAUGCAAGUCGAACGGCAGCACAGGAGAGCUUGCUCUCUGGGUGGCGAGUGGCGGACGGGUGAGGAAUACAUCGGAAUCUACUCUGUCGUGGGGGAUAACGUAGGGAAACUUACGCUAAUACCGCAUACGACCUACGGGUGAAAGCAGGGGACCUUCGGGCCUUGCGCGAUUGAAUGAGCCGAUGUCGGAUUAGCGAGUUGGCGGGGUAAAGGCCCACCAAGGCGACGAUCCGUAGCGGGUCUGAGAGGAUGAUCAGCCACACUGGAACUGAGACACGGUCCAGACUCCUACGGGAGGCAGCAGUGGGGAAUAUUGGACAAUGGGCGCAAGCCUGAUCCAGCCAUACCGCGUGGGUGAAGAAGGCCUUCGGGUUGUAAAGCCCUUUUGUUGGGAAAGAAAUCCAGCUGGCUAAUACCCGGUUGGGAUGACGGUACCCAAAGAAUAAGCACCGGCUAACUUCGUGCCAGCAGCCGCCGUAA